AGCUCCAAUAGCGUAUAUUAAAGUUGUUGCAGUUAAAAAGCUCGUAGUUGAAUUUCAGGCCUGGCUGGACGGUCCGCCUUUUGGGUGAGUACUGUCUGUGGUCGGGUCCUACCUUCUGGCGAAGCGUCAUGGCCUUAACCGGCCGUGGCGGGGAACCAGGACUUUUACUGUGAAAAAAUUAGAGUGUUCAAAGCAGGCAAUCGCUUGAAUACAUUAGCAUGGAAUAAUGGAAUAGGACAAUGGUUCUAUUUGUUGGUUUCUAGGACCGUUGUAAUGAUUAAUAGGGAUAGUUGGGGGCAUUAGUAUUCAAUUGUCAGAGGUGAAAUUCUUGGAUUUAUUGAAGACUAACUACUGCGAAAGCAUUUGCCAAGGAUGUUUUCA
rnacentral:rRNA from 1 species